rnacentral:rRNA from 1 species
UACGGAGGGUGCAAGCGUUAUCCGGAAUCACUGGGUUUAAAGGGUACGUAGGCGGUUAAUUAAGUCAGUAGUGAAAGACUGUCGCUCAACGACGGAUGUGCUAUUGAUACUGGUUAACUUGAAUCAGGUUAGAGUUGGCGGAAUGGGUCAUGUAGCGGUGAAAUGCUUAGAUAUGACUUGGAACACCGAUAGCGAAGGCAGCUGACUGAGCCUUGAUUGACGCUGAGGUACGAAAGUGUGGGUAGCGAACAGG